GUACAAGUUUCCGUAGGUGAACCUGCGGAAGGAUCAUUA
rnacentral:rRNA from 1 species